ACUGUGGACUGUUAUUUGACCCUGUAGUAGUGAGUAGUUGGCGAGGCAGAACAGGAUGAAGCAGUAA
rnacentral:sRNA from 17 species